rnacentral:lncRNA from 1 species
CUCAUUGCGUGCUGUACAUAUUUGUACACUUGUUUGUCUUGUCACGAGCCUUUCUUUCCUUUGUGAUGACAGGAGUCAUUGUCAAACUGAAAUUCCCCAACUCUCCAAGGAACUAUGUUCAAGUUCCUGAAUGUGCUUUGCCCUUUCUUGACUUUAAGCCUCUUGACUUUAAGUCCUCUGUCCAUUUCUUUGUUUUGUUGUUUUUAAUCAUCUUUCCAAACAGCUCAAAAUAUUCUUUUCCAGGAAUCCUUUCCAUACUGCCUCACAUCCUUUGUACUCCCUCAUCUGAGUAUUUCUCUUUACAAUGAAACUUUCUGCCUUUUUGGUCUCUCACACUUGACUCUGCACUCCCAUGAAGGGAGGAGUUGGAGUUGGAUUCUUGGUGUUCCCAGAUUCUGGUCUGUAAAGUAAGUAUCCAUGGAGUUAAAUGGCACAGAGUUGACCAGUCAGCUACAUGUCAUGUCCUGGCACAUGAGCUUUGUCCCGUGCUCUAGGGAGAGAGAGAAGGAUAAACUUUUCCAUCUGGACCAUGAAGCCAGCUUACCAACACCUGCCACUUCUGGGCAAUGUGUCCUAGGGAUGGGUGAGCCUUCUUGUAUCUGCAACUUUGGGUGACUGUUCCUGUUUAAAGAUCUUGCAGAUAGGGAGAUAAAGAGCAUGGUGCUGGAUUGCUGGAGGUCAAUAAAUGCCGGCCUCCCUGUGUCCUACUUACCCCCUCCAGCUCCCUGCAAACAUAAGGAGUGCGGAGUUAGGGGGCCCUGGUGUUAAGGCUCUGUUCAAUCACGAUACUCACCAAAGCUGAUUCACUCCUAAGGAUGGAGCCCACUGCCCUGCCAGAAAACUUCAGGAGAAACUUGGACAUUUUUGCAACUGUCUGUGGUAUCUGUCAUCAGGCUGACACUUAUUGCAAAAAUCUCACCCAUGGCCGUUAGCGUCAGCAAUUCUGUGAAGCUUAUGGUGGGGGUAAUUUGUGCUUCUUUCUGGCUACCCUGCCUUCUAAAUCCCCAGCACAUCCUCUCCAUUUUUUGAGACCAUCAUUUCACUGGAAGGACCUGCGUCAUCGAUCACCGUCCUCCAGAUUCAGCAGGUUUUAAGGAGCCCAGCAGUCAAGUGCUCUGCCCGGGAGAGGAGACGUGGGAAGCCAACCCUAAUUCACCUUAAUGGGAUGGUCACAGAAAGCAAAGUCUGGUUGGCUCCACUCUUUCUAAAAUUUACUUCUUUUUCUUCUUAUUAUUUAGAGACAAGGGUAUUGCCCUGUUACCCAGGCUGGAGUGCAGUGGCACAAUCAUAGUACACUGCAGCCUCAAACUCCCAG